rnacentral:sRNA from 19 species
ACAGUUACGCCGUUUGUAGCUGUAAAGCCCACGGUUGUGGGGCGUAUCAACAGGUAGAAGGAAUAUAUCGAUG